CCUUGUCCCAUCGCGCCGCCGCCACCCACUCACCAUUCCCCUCGGGAUCUUCCCAGAUCCACCUCGUAGCCAGCCCGAGCUCCACCUAAUUUUCCCCACUGGACCAACUCCAUCGAUCCAUCCCCUCCAACCAGAGAUCCCCACGGCCCUCGUCGUCCCAGCAGCAGCACCGGAGCCACCUCGCGUCUCCUCCUCCCGUUCCUUCUUUCUUUCACCUGUUGCCGGGCUCAUCCUCUCUCUCUCUCGUACUGGACAGGAGAGCAGCCAUGGCCGUCCGUCCAUGGAAGUGAGCCGCGCCGCCCUGGUCACCUGCGACCUUGGGUUGCCUCCGUGUCGUCCUCACCGCCCACUGGAGCCGAGGCCGUCGCCUCCUAAGUUCGUCGCGCCGCUACUGGGUUCGCCGGAUCCGCUGCCUCCCGGCACCCCUUCCUCAACCGCGCCUACAACCCCUGCCUCCCUCGCGCGCCAAGUUCGCGUCGUCGCUCUCCCGAACCGCCGCAACCUGCAGGAGCUUCAAGAGACGAACGCAGUCGCCAGGACCCGGCCAGAUCCUGCCGUUCCCGCUCCUCCUCGUGCGCCAAGUCCGCCCAGCCGCCCGCUGCGCCCGCUCGCAGCGCCAGUCGCCGCCCUCCGCUGCUGCUUUGCCGCCGUCCAGCCGUGCCGCCGUUCCCCUGUUUCCUCUGCUUCAUGUACGAGCGAGGAGAACGACCGCGUGUUCGCCCCGAGCGUUGACCGCGCCUCCAGCACCAUCGUGGGCCGCGUGAGCAAGGCCUAGCCCAGCCGCUGCUAGAACCAAACCGCACCACAGAACGGGCCAAGCCCAUGGUUGCGUGUGUGAGGAUCCGUUGGCUAC